rnacentral:rRNA from 1 species
ACCCCUACGGGGGGCAGCAGUGGGGAAUAUUGCACAAUGGAGGAAACUCUGAUGCAGCAAUGCCGCGUGUGUGAAGAAGGCCUUCGGGUUGUAAAGCACUUUCAAUAGGGAGGAAAAGUUGUAAGUUAAUACCUUGCAGCCGUGACGUUACCUAUAGAAGAAGGACCGGCUAACUCCGUGCCAGCAGCCGCGGUAA